rnacentral:rRNA from 1 species
AUUGAACGCUGGCGGCAGGCUUAACACAUGCAAGUCGAGCGGUAGCACAGGGGAGCUUGCUCCCUGGGUGACAAGCGGCGGACGGGUGAGUAAUGUCUGGGAAACUGCCUGAUGGAGGGGGAUAACUACUGGAAACGGUAGCUAAUACCGCAUAACGUCGCAAGACCAAAGAGGGGGACCUUCGGGCCUCUUGCCAUCAGAUGUGCCCAGAUGGGAUUAGCUAGUAGGUGGGGUAAUGGCUCACCUAGGCGACGAUCCCUAGCUGGUCUGAGAGGAUGACCAGCCACACUGGAACUGAGACACGGUCCAGACUCCUACGGGAGGCAGCAGUGGGGAAUAUUGCACAAUGGGCGCAAGCCUGAUGCAGCCAUGCCGCGUGUGUGAAGAAGGCCUUCGGGUUGUAAAGCACUUUCAGCGAGGAGGAAGGUGGUGAGCUUAAUACGUUCAUCAAUUGACGUUACUCGCAGAAGAAGCACCGGCUAACUCCGUG